rnacentral:tRNA from 1 species
AGCUUUAUAGUUUAAUGUGAACAAAAACAUUAAUUUUGUAAAUUAAAAAUAAUUAAUAUUAUAUUUUAAGCUU